rnacentral:rRNA from 1 species
GAUGAACGCUGGCGGCGUGCCUAAUACAUGCAAGUCGAGCGAACGGACGAGAAGCUUGCUUUUCUGAUGUUAGCGGCUGACGGGUGAGUAACACGUGGAUAACCUACCUAUAAGACUGGGAUAACUUCGGGAAACCGGAGCUAAUACCGGAUAAUAUUUUGAACCGCAUGGUUCAUAAGUGAAAGACGGUCUUGCUGUCACUUAUAGAUGGAUCCGCGCUGCAUUAGCUAGUUGGUAAGGUAACGGCUUACCAAGGCAACGAUGCAUAGCCGACCUGAGAGGGUGAUCGGCCACACUGGAACUGAGACACGGUCCAGACUCCUACGGGAGGCAGCAGUAGGGAAUCUUCCGCAAUGGGCGAAAGCCUGACGGAGCAACGCCGCGUGAGUGAUGAAGGUCUUCGGAUCGUAAAACUCUGUUAUUAGGGAAGAACAUAUGUGUAAGUAACUGUGCACAUCUUGACGGUACCUAAUCAGAAAGCCACGGCUAACUACGUG